rnacentral:lncRNA from 1 species
UUAACUCAAAAUAUUCUUCAAUAAAUUCAUAAAAAUUAUGGGAACUUGCCUAGACAUUUCUUAACAAUAUUCUUAAUAAGACACAUGAAUUCCUCAAUUAAAUUAUUAAGAUAUAAUGAAAUUUUACUCUAGUGUUUUGUAUUCAUCAAAAUCUAUUAGGGGGUCAACAACCAUCCACCAGUGACACCUAGCAGCAUGUAGUGGCUACCCAGUAGAAUAGAAAGAUGAACCUCUAGGUGCAGUUGUCAUGUGAUACAGUCCUACUAUCGUGGAUCCCUACAGGACGGAGGUCAUGGACAACUCGUCAAACCCCAUCGU